CUCGGCCAAGAUGCUGCUGCCAGCCGAAGCCCAUCCCCAGCUCCAACUCGUGCCGCUGCAGCAGAGAAAAGAUUCAGACAAGAUGAUGUGGCUUGUUGAAGACGAAGGGCAGUAGGAGGUGAAGACGGAUGCUGAAACUCACCUUCCCAGGUUGAUGACUCCUCUGGGGAUCCCUGUUGGCGUAUUAAAGGCAGGUAGCAACUUUUCUCCCAGCUCCACCGCUUUAUUU